UACGUAGGGGGCGAGCGUUGUCCGGAUUUAUUGGGCGUAAAGAGCUCGUAGGCGGCUUGGCAAGUCGGGUGUGAAACCUCCAGGCUCAACCUGGAGACGCCACUCGAUACUGCCAUGGCUAGAGUCCGGUGAGGGACCACGGAAUUCCUGGUGUAGCGGUAGAAAUGCGCAGAUAUCAGGAGGAACACCAGCGGCGAAAGCGGCUUCCUGGUCCAGCACCGACGUCGGGCACGAAAGCGUGGGGAGCAAACAGG
rnacentral:rRNA from 1 species